rnacentral:lncRNA from 1 species
GGGGAGGCCUUAAGCCUUGAGAAAGAUGAGUGUAGAGACAAAGGAGAGACACAAGGAAGAUAGAGAAAAGAUAUGGAAGAAAAAUAAGGUUUGACACUCUUAUACCUUGUCAUUUUUGAGGAUAAAGUUGACCCCAACAAUACUAUGGUAUGAUUUUGCUUUCUGCUGGGGGAAGAUGCAGAGCAAACCAAAAGUAUUGUGUUGUCCCUUUCAAAAG